UUGUGCCCAGUUGAUGCAAGAAAUCUGGAAGUGGAAAUGGUCUUCAAAGUUUGACAUUUCGUAGAGCCGUAUGUCAGAAAGAGGAGGUGUAAUCCUGCUAGCGCGCACAGUCAAAUGCCAUGGCUGUGCCCAGUGCCAAGUCGUUCCACUGGCAGUCCCUGGCAUCCUUGCCUGUUGGCCGGGUGUACUGCACUCCUGUGGAGAGUGGGGACCAGCUCUAUGUCAUCGGAGGCUGCGAUGAAGACGGAAGCCCCGUGAGCAACUGUGAGGUUUACUACCCAGAGGCCAACCAAUGGACCAGCCUGCCGCCCAUGCCCACAGCAAGAGCGGGCGUAGCUGUAGCUGCCCUGGGCAAACAGAUAUUGGUGAUUGGGGGAGUGGGAGUUCAUCAGAAUGCCCUGUCGACAGUGGAGAUGUACAAUGUGGAUGAAGGCAAGUGGGAGCAGAAGAGUUUCUUGUGUGAAGCUGCCAUGGGAGUGUCAGUGACUGUAAAAGUUUGUUUAAUUUCAGACUGUCGGGUCUAUGCAGUGGGUGGAAUGGGAUCAGACAUGUAUCCACAAGCUAACCUCCAACAAUACGACAUAGUGAAGGACAUCUGGCUCUCACUUCCUGCCAUGCCUACCCCGAGAUAUGCAGCCAGCACCUUCCUUCGAGAGAGCAAGAUCCAUGUAUUUGGUGGAAGACAAGUAAAGAAUCCGGUCACCGCCUUCGAAGUCUAUGACAUUGAGGCAAAGUCAUGGAGCAGGUUCCCAAGCAUUCCCAGCCGGCGAGCUUUCUCGAGCUGUGUGAUGACGGACAAGAAUUUCUUUAGUCUCGGAGGCCUGCAGCAAGCUCGAGGCUACAAGAGACCUAAGUUUGUCAGGACUGUGGAGGUGUUCGACAUUGAGCAGGGGGGCUGGAUGAAAACAGGAGGUCACCUAAACAUGAGGAAGAAGAGAGCAGAUUUUGUUGCUGCAUACCUCCAGGGCAGGGUGAUAGUGGCUGGAGGUCUAGGAGACCAGCCAGCAGUUCUGAGCUCAGCCGAGGCCCUGCACCCAACCAAGAACAGGUGGGAACGGCUGCCACCCAUGCCCACUGCCCGCUGCACCUGCUCCAGCGUCGUCUUUAAGAACCGCCUCUUGGUCAUUGGCGGAGUGUCGCAUGGACCCAGUGACGCUGUGGAAGCUCUCUACCUGAUAGACUCAUAGACACUUGAGGUGGCAACACGUGAAGGAGAGCUCAUCUGGAGGCUUCUUACUUCAGGGUUUAAUUGUCAUUUGCUUCUGGCUGUUGAACCUGAAGGCUGGUGUAUUCUCCUCUCAAACCCAGUGAAGUGUCGGAAUUGAGGCAGGACCUAAAUCUCCUCCCUGCUUCCAUGCAGUACGUGGCAGACAAAUAUCUACAACUCUUUGUCAUUUUCCUUCUGUGGGUCGGUUCACACCAUUUCAAUGGGGCCACGAAUCACCCUCUCAAAUCCCCUUCUCUGUGGAACAUGAGGCUAUCACAGAACUUCUUACCCCGUCCACUUCUUUCUCCUCAGCCACCUGGUUCCAGCGGGAAGUUUAUCCCAGAGCGUCUCCUUUCAUUUCCGAGCCGCUGAUCCGCUGAUCGUCCUGGAGAUGGAGUAUGUAAUUGAGAGAUUUGUCUAAAGGAUUGAAUUGCCACAGUACACAGGGAGAUGAAGUACAGAACCAUGAUUGCUGAGCAUCUCCGUUAAGAUCCAAAACCUGAAACCAGACAGUGUUCAGCUACUGAGCAAUGGACCAAGAUGAUCAAGUUGAGUCAUUACCUCAUCAGUAUCCAGAUACACACACAGGAAUCACAGGAUAGUCUUCGAGGGCAGAAGCCCUGGCUAAUCCUCCCCAUCUUCAAUCAUACCAACGUCAAUUCUAAUAUCCCAGCUCAUACAAUAAAAGGAUAUUGAUAUUGAUAUACAACACAGGAGACCAUUUGGCCCAAUCAGCUUCUGCUGGCUGUUUGAGGGAGAUAACUAAUUAGUUCUUCUCCCCUUAGUCUUCCCCCAUCGGCCUGUCUGCAAAGUUUCCAUUUUUUUUGAUGAUGUUUGAAACUUGAACUCUGGGAUUAAGAUCCUCCUGCUCCACUGAGGUAACCUGACCAAGGAUUGAACCAGGGGCUAGGAGCAAAUUACUGCUGUGAUGAAGAGUCAUCAAAUUUGAAAUUUUAGCUUGCUGUCUCUCCACAGAUGCUGCCUGAUCUACUGUGAUUUCCAGUAUUUGUUUGCUUUUGAACCAGGAAUCUUUCCCAGUCAGGAGGGACGUGUCAGUACUGGACUAUAGAUCUCCAGUGAGCAUACAGCAGAAACUUAACUGAUGUGCUUUAUUCUAACUCCCACAAAGUCUCAGUUACCCCCUUGUGCAUUUAAAUUAAAAUUUUAAGCCUUGUUUUCAAAUCCCUGGAUGGCCUUGCCCUCUUCUCCAUCUCUGUAAUCUCCUCUAGGCCCAGAACCCUUUGAGAUAUCUAUAUCCUCCAAUUCUGGUUUCUUGUGCAUCCCUGGCUUUAAUUGCUCAACAAUUUGUAGCAAUACCUUCAUCUACCUCAUUCUGGAAUUCCCUCCCUAAGUCUCUGACCCUUUUUUUGAAUGAACAAUUUACUUAUUGUCACAUAUCUAGGGAGAUACAGUGAAAAAUAAAUAAAAACCUAAAGAACUGUGGAUUCUGUAAAUUAGGAACAAAAACAAAGUUGCUGGAAAAGCUCAACAGGUCUGGCAGCAUCUGUGAAGGAACAGACCCGGAACGUUAACUCUGUUUCUUCCUUCACAGAUGCUGCCAGACCUGCCGAGCUUUUCCAGCAACUUUGUUUUUAUACAGUGAAAAGUGUUCGGUCACCAUAAGCCAGCACCAUUUUGAGGUACACAGGAAUAAAAAGAAAGUACUUAAAUAGAGUUCAUCUUCAUUGGCCAGAGUCCCAAACAUAGCUGUAGGACUUCUGCAAGGUCCCCUGCUCCAGGCCCACCGCAGCCAGGGGUCCUCGCUCUGGGCCUACCACAGCCAGGGGUCCUUGCUCUGGGCCUACUGCAGCCAGGGCUCCUUGAUCUGGGCCUACCGCAGCCAGGCAUCCUCGCUCUGGGCCUACCACAGCCAGGGGUCCUCGAUCUGGGCCUACCGCAGCCAGGGGUCCUCACUCUGGGCCUACCGCAGCCAGGGGUCCUCACUCUGGGCCUACCGCAGCCAGGGGUCCUCGCUCUGGGCUUACCGCAGCCAGGAGUGUCCUGCUCCACUAUUGUAGCCAAAGCCAUGUCACCACUCCAGGAAUCCACGCAUCGAGCCUGGAGUCACCGCCGACACCAAUCUGGCCUCCCCGCGAUGUCAAGAAGAUGAAGAAAAGAAAAAGAAAAAUGUCGAAAGGGAGAGGGAGAGAUAAAGAAUGCGGGUGGCCUGGAGCAGACAGGCUCAGCCCGAACAUUGCCUGCCAUGCUGGCACCACCACCUGGGAGAUGAAAGUCUUUUAAGAUUCAUUGGAGCCUCUCUCUUUGACCAUUAUAUUGAUUGCCUUUGCUCAUGCGGCCUGGUGUUAAACAAUGCUUUAGCUUACCAAUGAAGCUCCUUGAGGCUUUUUAAAAGUCCUGUUAAAGGUGCUAUAUGAAUGCAAACGGUUGCUGAAUUCAAAUUUCACCAGCUGCCAUGGUUGGAUUAUCACCAGAACAUUAGCCUAGGGCUCUGGAUGACAGUGGCACAACCAGUACACUCUUGCUUUUCAAUGAAUUGCUGUUCGGGUACCAGUGAGAUACCCAAACACAGUCAAUCUGAAACUAAAGGCAAAACCCAGGGGACUCUAUACUCUAGAAACUGGCUCUGCUUGGCCAUCGAUCCUGUCAAGUGCCAGCAUUUCACAUUCACCUUCCAGGAACUAUGAUAGAGCCAUGUCAGCUGAUACUGAGGACACUGGUAGUGACAUGGGCAUUGGCCUUGUAAACUUCAGAAAUGGUUUUGGGCAGCACAAUAUUUAUGUUUUAUUGUCAUGUACUCAAGUACAGGAGUACCAGUGAAAAGUGUGCAAUAUCACCAUUCCAUCUUAGGUACAAAGGUACCCAGGUACAAAAUCUGAGGUUCAAAAAUAGAGAAAUAAGUUUAACAUCGUGCUGAGUCUCUUCCACCUAAUGAUACUGUUAUUGGCUCCAAUGUCAUGGGAUGGGGGGGGUGAAGGGAAGAAAGAAGAGAGGGAAAAAAUGCUGUUAAUAUUGGAAAGACAAAUGCAGUAGAUACAUAGGAACUCCAUCGCCUGCAAGUUCCCUCCACGUCAUUUGUGACUUGGAAACAUUAUCGUUGUUUCUCCAUCGUCUCUGGGUCAAAAUUCUGGAACUCUCUUCCUGGCAGCACUGUGGGUGUCCCUAAACCAUGUGGAAUGUUUAACUUAAAACAGCAAAAAGAAACAAAGCAUCAUUCAUAUUAUUUUUUUUCUCUGACAUGAAGGUCUGAUUCAAGCAGGCAGCUCAACACCAAAUUCUCCAGAGCAAUUAAGAAUGAGGAACAAUGGCAGCUUAGCCAGCUACAAGACAGAGGGUGGUAAUGGAGGAUUGUUUUUCAGACUGGAGGCCUGUGACCAGCAGUGUGCCCCAAGGAUCGGUGCUGGAUCCCCUGCUUGUUGUCAUUUAUAUAAAUGAUUUGGAUGUGAAUCUAGGAGGUAUGGUUAGUAAGUUUGCAGAUGAUGCCAAAAUUGCUGGUUUAAUGGACAUUGAAGAAGGUUAUCUCAGAGUACAACGGGACCUUGAUAAGAUGGGCUAAUUGGCCGAGGAGUGGCAGAUGGUGUUUAAUUUAGAUAAAUGUGAGUUGUUGCAUUUUGGUAAAGCAAACCAGGGCAGGACAUGUACAGUUAAUGGUGGAGUAUUGCCAAACAAACAGACCUAGGGGUGCAGGAGCAUAGCUCCUUGAAUGUGGAGUUGCAGGUAGACAGGUUGAUGAAGAAGACUUUUGGUAUGCUUGACUUCAUUGGUCAGUGCAUUCAUUGAGUAUUGGAAUUGGAAGGUCAUGUUGCAGCUGUUCAGGACAUUGGUUAGGCCACUUUUAGAAUACUGCGUUUAAUUCUGGUCUCCCUCCUACAGGAAAGAUGUUGUUAAACUUGAAAUGGGUUAAGAAAAGAUUUACAAGGAAGUUGCCAGGAUUGGAGGGUUUGAGCUAUAAAGAGAGGCUGAAUAGGCUGGGGCUAUUUUCCCUGGAGCAUCGGAGGCCAAGGGGUGACCUUAUAGAGGUUUAUAAAAUCAUGAGGGGCAUGGAUAGAGUGAAUAGACAAGGUCUCUUUCCCAGGGUAGGGGAGUCCAAAACUAGAGGGCAUAGGUUUAAGGUGAGAGGGGGAAGAUUUAAAAGGGACCCAAGCAGCAACAUUUUCACACACAUUGGGUUAAUAUGUGGAAUGAGCUGCCAGAGGAAGUAUAGAUGCAGGUACAGUUACAACAUUUUAAAGACAUUUGGACAGAUACACAAAUGGGAAAGGUUUACAGGGAUAUGGACCAAUGCAGGGAAGUGGGACUAGUUUAGUUUGGGAAACUUGAUCAAGGUGGACCAGUUGGACCAAAGGGUUUUUUUUUCAUGCUGUCUGACUAUAUGACUCUAUAUAUCAAAUUGAAGUUAGUGCUGGUGAUCAUGAAACUAUCAUUGUUAUUAAACACUCAUCUGGUUCAUGAAUUAUUUAGAGGGAAGGAAAUCUGAAGGUUGUGGAAGGUGCUGGAUAAAUGCAAAUUAUUUUAUUUAUCACAUUUUAAUGGUACUUUCCACUGGAAUAUGCUAUAUGGAAGGAUCAUGCAAUGAGUACCGCAGGUGGUAGAAAAUUCCAGAAGCUGUAUGUACUCAGCAUGAUGCAAGUUUGCUGUGUAUGCAAUGAAGCUGGAAAGGUCAAGAUAAAAGGCCAUGUGAAUAUAUAGCGAUCAACAAACAUUUUGUUAAACACACAUCUGCAGUUUUACUGAUGAUGAUUCUGAUGUUAGAAAUCAUUAACUGGGCAACAAUUGUUUUCUUCCAUCAAUCCAAUUGAAAAGGGUCUUUAACCUCAAGACUAUUUCAGAAAUUGUAAAGGAUGCUUCACCCAUCCCAAAAUGCUUUAACUUAAAGCAAAUAAGAAAUAAAAAAAAAUUAAUAUUGUAUUUUCUGAUGUGAGGGCCUGCUUUUUCUCGCUGCUGUGCAAAUCUUGACUGUUAUUAAAGAGAAGUCUUUGGGAUGACACCAAAAUAUUUUGUCUUUUUGAAAACCUUACAGCUGCUGUCUUAUCAGACUUACUGAUUUGUUCAUUUAUGAUUCUCUCCCUCUCCUUUAGCUUGGCCUACCAUGUCCUGGGAUGUCAAUUCCCAUGCACCAGUCUCCUGUUGACACUUUUCCAAGUGGGCAUUUGUCUUGUAUCAAAUCCUUUGAUGGGUGAUGUGUAUUACAGGCAAGGCCAGCGUUUGUGGCCCGUCUCUGAGUGGCUUGAUGGGCAAUUUCAGACGGCACAUUGCUAGAGUCGCAUUUAGACUAGACCAGGCAUCCUCAUAGCCAAUAGGGCUGUUGAAUAAUUACAGUAAUCAAUCUCUAGUGAGUAGUCUACAAGACACCCAGAUAUGAUGUGCAAGUUUUUGGGAACAAUAGGUCCAUGUCAUUCAUUCCUCCCAAGCUUGCUAUGCUUCACACACGACAGGAAUAGACCAGAGUAUCAGGGACAGGAGUAGCAGCAGGGGGAGGUGUGAGCGCACUGGUAAUACCACUGGAGAAGUGUACUGGUGACCCAGGUUUGAUUCCCAUCACGGCAGAUGAUAGGAUUUGAAUUCAACAGAAAACAUCUGGAAUUA